CAGGAGCGUGCAGACGGUGAGAUCUCAGGUGCCCAGGCAGCCCCUCUUCCCACCCUCCUGUUCAGUUUGGAUCCUGACCUCCAGCUCAUAGCUGCAAGGGACGCUGGAAGCCGGGCCCUCCUGGCCAAGUGACUUGUGCUUCUUGUCCCCUUUGACUUCAGUCUGUUUCUUCUUUACAUGGGUCGGACGUAUGGCUUUUACAAAUCAAAUGGUGGCGACCCCAGAAUAGCAUCUGGUUACCUAAGUCACUGAUGAGUGAAAGCACGCUCUGAUGGCUCUUCUCUGCAGGCGGCUGGGAGAUGACAAUGGCCACAGCUCCUGGAACGCUGGUGGGAGUCACGCGACUGAGAUGUAAUAAACCGUCUGUGGUCCAAAGAAUCCAGAGUGGGGCCGCUCUCCCAGAUGAGGAUGCCCAGGGCAAUAUAUGUCUAUUCCUGAAUUUUUGCUAAGCAGACAGAGCAAGGUUCCCUUGGGACGGGAACCAGGACCAUCCCAGUAGUCAGAGGGGACGCUGAGAGUGGGGGCUGGUGGCCGGGACCGCGUGCGCGUUCACAAAGAAAUCUUGUGGCUGGAGCUAUUUUCAACUUUGGGGGUUCGAGGAACGACCGUGGCUGUCCGAAGCUGAAGUGGACUACAGACAAGAAUACAGGUUAUUCUGAAAUAGCUGGAGACCAUGACAUUCGAUUCCAGUAUUUUCUCUAUUUGUGUUUACAUCUACCUGUUCCACAAAUGACCUCCCUUUAGCACGCACAAGAAAUUAGCCUGAGGAGUCUAAAACCAUUAAAAAAUAAAUGGUAUGUUAUCUCCAACUGAAUUACCCAUACUAAACCUCAUUAUUUGUGAUUCUGAUAAAGUGUUCUCUAUUAGUAGAUAGCACCGUUAACUAACUUUUUAAAAAGCAUAAAUACCACAAAAGGAUUAAUUUUUAUUAAAAAAAUGAUCUUAUCCAAAAAACCAGCCUUCUGAUCUUACUUACGUAGUUAACUCAGCACGUAUUUGUGGAACGCAUGAACAGCUAUGUUACAGUAAGACACUCUACUCACAUAAAAACUCCUAUACUUUGUCCCACCAGCCCCUGCUGGAUAACCCCAAUGAUUUUACCAUCGUCUGCUAUAAAAUUAGAAAAAUAAUCAUCUCAAAAAUAGCAAGGCUUUCAAUACUAUGGCUAUGGGACCAAAUAUAUGAAGGGUAUAGAGUAAGGGAUUUCUUAAAAUAAU
rnacentral:lncRNA from 1 species